GAGCAAGCAAUUAGAGCAAGUGUGAUACAUGUCUUUCUUCCUGAUAAUAUAGUAAUUUUUUUCAGAGAAACAACAGACAAGUCUUCAUAUUGCAUUUUUCAAUAAAUCUAUUAGUGCUUUCGUACAAAAAGUAUUCCUAAAUAUGUAGAUCCUCAAAAAAUAGGACAAGAUGUAAAGUAGAAAGCCAAUCAAGGUGGGAAAAGAGAUUUUAGGAAGCUUUGUAAUUGUUUUUGAUAUUCUGAUCUCUUAAGAAAAUAGAUCUCUUUAUGUAGUUAUAGAGAGGGAGUAUAAGAGAAGCUGUUGAUAUUCUAGUUUGGAUUAGCUCCAUUUUAAAACAGCAUGAUUCUGUGAAAAUUUGUUUCUGCAUUAACCCUUAGAACUUAUAAUGGUCUAUAAGAAUUUGAAUUUCUGUAAACUCACAUAAUAGUAUGAACACUUGGUUAGACUGACAGAAGCAGUCACUAAGGUAAAAUUCAAAACUCGUUGAGUGGAAAUAGCUUGGAUCCACUUAGAAACAUAAUAGGUUUGUGUUUUUUCUUUGGCUAAAUAAACUACCUUGGAACAUGUCGUGUUUUUGUUAAGUUCUAUACAUGUAUUCCCUGUAGUGUUUGAAACUUGGAACUUUACCUGUAGUUUUUUUUAUAAGGGCCUGUGUUGUUCAAACAUUGUACAUUAUCUUUUUCACAAACAAUUGAGAGAAAAGACGUAUGGUUGAGGACUACUUUUCAAUAGGGCAGUUGUUUUCUUAAAUUCGAAUAGGCUGAGUAUUAUUGGUACUCUUCUAGUAGGUCUUUGCCUUGGUCACUUCUAUGAUAUGCCACUGCCUCCCUGUGCCUUUAAAUUCCCUAACACCAUGCCUCACCCUCUAUGCCAAGACAUUGAAUCAUAUUAGGGUAGCUGAUCCUUAGUACCCUGAUGGGAAUGUGAAACAAACCCAAGUUCCCUGUUUUCCCCUCUUAAAAGGUGAGUUUAUCUUAACUUAACGUAGCUUGUAAGUUGAGAUUUGAUUCCACCACCCUUGAGGUUUCAAUUUGGGAACCUCAAAGUGAUCGCACCCGCAACUUAGGCAGGCUAAGGACAACCACCAUUAAAGCAACUUUCAACACCUCCUAUUGGUAUCGUACGGUUUUUAUGUCAUUCGCCCCCAACAUGUUCUUGUGAACUAUGUCCAGUUAUGUAAAUAUGAGUCAAUAAAACAGACAGAAUAAGUGAAGAGAAAAUUCACUCACAAUCUUUAGGGAUUUUAGUAUUCUCCUAGCGUCUCUUUUCACUAACUUGUUUUGACAUUUAAUGGAAGCCUUUAUUAGGCAGAUUACCAUCGUAAAGCUCUAAUUUUGUUUGAAGAAAGCACCUAUGUUAUUGUAUUUAAGUUUUGCCUUAAAAUGAAAUUCACCCUGCACAAAAGUACAGAUGCAGCCAAUUAUAAGACAAGAACACCACUUACAGAAAUCUUAAUUGAGAAUUAAGAUGUUUACAUAAUUAUUUGCAUUGUAAAAACUGCAUUGCUAAGUUAUACUGUUUUCAUAGAUCACAAUAAAAUUCUAAGAAACAUAUCUCUUAAUAGUUUAUAAUUCAAAUGAGUCUCAC
rnacentral:lncRNA from 1 species